GAUGAAGAACGUAGCGAAAUGCGAUAAGUAAUGUGAAUUGCAGAAUUCAGUGAAUCAUCGAAUCUUUGAACGCACAUUGCGCCCGCCAGUAUUCUGGCGGGCAUGCCUGUCCGAGCGUCAUUUCAACCAUCAAGCCCCCGGGCUUGUGUUGGGGACCUGCGGCUGCCCGCAGGCCCUGAAAACCAGUGGCGGGCUCGCUGUCACACCAAGCGUAGUAGCAAUCACCUCGCUCAGGGCGUGCUGCGGGUUCCGGCCGUUAAACAGCCUUACAAAACCCAAGGUUGACCUCGGAUCAGGUAGGAAGACCCGCUGAACUUAAGCAUAUCAAUAAGCGGAGGA
rnacentral:misc_RNA from 1 species